AUGAGUGGUUCAAAUGAUAUACUGAAGGAUCCACUAGGUUUCUUGAUGUUGCAGAUCAUAAGGAUGUGGAUGAUGAUGAAGUGGAUGACGAGGAUAGUGGUGAUGAUGUUGUCCCCUUCCUCGUUUGUGCUGGAGGCUGAGAGGGUACAAUCGGCCCCGUCGUCCCGGCCCGCAGCACAACAGGCCAGCAGGACCGACUCCUCUGCUCCAGCCGAGCGCCUGCUCUGUCCUCUCUCCCGCACCAGCCGCCCCCCGCCGGACCCGGACGCCCCGCCGUAG
rnacentral:rRNA from 1 species